AUUGAACGCUGGCGGCAGGCCUAACACAUGCAAGUCGAGCGGAUGACAGGAGCUUGCUCCUGAAUUCAGCGGCGGACGGGUGAGUAAUGCCUAGGAAUCUGCCUGGUAGUGGGGGACAACGUUUCGAAAGGAACGCUAAUACCGCAUACGUCCUACGGGAGAAAGCAGGGGACCUUCGGGCCUUGCGCUAUCAGAUGAGCCUAGGUCGGAUUAGCUAGUUGGUGAGGUAAUGGCUCACCAAGGCGACGAUCCGUAACUGGUCUGAGAGGAUGAUCAGUCACACUGGAACUGAGACACGGUCCAGACUCCUACGGGAGGCAGCAGUGGGGAACAUUGGACAAUGGGCGAAAGACCUGAUCCAGCCAUGCCGCGUGUGUGAAGAAAGGUCUUCGGA
rnacentral:rRNA from 1 species